UACAGCCACAUCAUGUUGGAACAUCAGUUCUCAUACAAUCUGCAAAGUUAAGCAACAUUGAGCUUGGUCAGUACCUAGAAGGGUGACAGCCUGGGAAUAUCAGCAGCUGUAUG